rnacentral:rRNA from 1 species
GAUCAUGGCUCAGAACGAACGCUGGCGGCGCGUUUAAGCAUGCAAGUCGAGCGGCAGGGGGCUCGGUCCCCGAGAGCGGCGGACGGGUGAGUAACACGUGGACAACCUGCCCCCCGGUUCGGGAUAGCCCAGGGAAACCUGGAUCAAUACCGGAUGCGAGGGCGGCCGCACAAGCGGCCGUCGGGAAAGGCGCUUCGGCGCCGCCGGGGGAUGGGUCCGCGUCCCAUUAGCUAGACGGUGGGGUAACGGCCACCGUGGCGAUGAUGGGUAGCCGGCCUGAGAGGGUGGACGGCCACAUUGGAACUGAGACACGGUCCAGACUCCUACGAGAGGCAGCAGCUAAGAAUCUUCCGCAAUGGGCGAAAGCCUGACGGAGCGACGCCCGCGUGGACGAAGAAGGCCGUGAGGUCGUAAAGUUCUUUUCGGGAGGGGGAACGAGGCUGCCAGGCAAUGGGCGGCCGAUGACGUGAAUCCCGGAAUAAGCCCCGGCUAACUACGUGCCAGCAGCCGC